AUUGAACGCUGGCGGCAUGCUUUACACACGCAAGUCGAACGGCAGCACGGACUUCGGUCUGGUGGCGAGUGGCGAACGGGUGAGUAAUACAUCGGAACGCACCCAGUAAUGGGGGAUAACUAUCCGAAAGGAUAGCUAAUACCGCAUACGCCCUACGGGGGAAAGAGGGGGAUCGCAAGACCUCUUGUUAUUGGAGCGGCCGAUGGCUGAUUAGCUAGUUGGUGGGGUAAAGGCCUACCAAGGCAACGAUCAGUAGCGGGUCUUAGAGGACGAUCCGCCACACUGGAACUGAGACACGGUCCAGACUCCUACGGGAGGCAGCAGUGGGGAAUCUUGGACAAUGGGCGCAAGCCUGAUCCAGCAAUGCCGCGUGCGUGAAGAAGGCCUUCGGGUUGUAAAGCGCUUUUGUCAGGGAGCAAAUCCUUGUGGCUAAUACCCACCGGGGAUGAGAGUACCUGAAGAAUAAGGACCGGCUAACUACGUGCCAGCCGCCGCGGUAAAAC
rnacentral:rRNA from 1 species